GAUGAACGCUGGCGGCGUGCCUAACACAUGCAAGUCGAGCGAUUUACUUCGGUAAAGAGCGGCGGACGGGUGAGUAACGCGUGGGUAACCUGCCCUGUACACACGGAUAACAUACCGAAGGGUAUGCUAAUACGAGAUAAUAUGCUUUUAUCGCAUGGUAGAAGUAUCAAAGCUCCGGCGGUACAGGAUGGACCCGCGUCUGAUUAGCUAGUUGGUAAGGUAACGGCUUACCAAGGCGACGAUCAGUAGCCGACCUGAGAGGGUGAUCGGCCACAUUGGAACUGAGACACGGUCCAAACUCCUACGGGAGGCAGCAGUGGGGAAUAUUGCACAAUGGGCGAAAGCCUGAUGCAGCAACGCCGCGUGAGCGAUGAAGGCCUUCGGGUCGUAAAGCUCUGUCCUCAAGGAAGAUAAUGACGGUACUUGAGGAGGAAGCCCCGGCUAACUACGUGCCAGCAGCCGCCGUAACAC
rnacentral:rRNA from 1 species